AGAGUUUGAUCAUGGCUCAGAUUGAACGCUGGCGGCGUGCUUAACACAUGCAAGUCGCGCGUGAAAGGACUUCGGUCCGAGUAAAGCGGCGCACGGGUGAGUAACGCGUGGAUGAUCUACCCAUGAGUUAGGAAUAACGGCUGGAAACGGUCGCUAAUACCAAAUACGCUCCGAUUUCAACUUCGGGGGAAAGGUGGCCUCUGCUUGCAAGCUACUGCUCAUGGAUGAGUCCGCGUCCCAUUAGCUAGUUGGUGGGGUAACGGCCCACCAAGGCGACGAUGGGUAGCCGGUCUGAGAGGAUGACCGGCCACACUGGGACUGGAACACGGCCCAGACUCCUACGGGAGGCAGCAGUGGGGAAUAUUGCGCAAUGGGCGAAAGCCUGACGCAGCGACGCCGCGUGAGGGAUGAAGGUCCUCGGAUCGUAAACCUCUGUCAGGAGGGAAGAACCGCCACGGUGCUAAUCAGCCGUGGUCUGACGGUACCUCCAAAGGAAGCACCGGCUAACUCCGUGCCAGCCGCCGC
rnacentral:rRNA from 1 species